GUGUCAGCCGCCGCGGUAACACGAACUGUGCAAACGUUAUUCGGAAUUACUGGGCUUAAAGAGUUCGUAGGCGGCGCGUUAAGUCGGGUGUGAAAUCCCUCGGCUCAACCGAGGAAUUGCGCCCGAUACUGGCGCGCUUGAGUGAGAUAGAGGUGAGCGGAACUGAUGGUGGAGCGGUGAAAUGCGUUGAUAUCAUCAGGAACACCGGUGGCGAAGGCGGCUCACUGGGUCUCAACUGACGCUGAGGAACGAAAGCUAGGGUAGCGAACGGGAUUAGAUACCCGGGUAGUCC
rnacentral:rRNA from 1 species